UACGUGGGGGGCAAGCGUUGUCCGGAUUUAUUGGGCGUAAAGAGCGUGUAGGCGGCUUUACAGGUCCGUUGUGAAAACUCGAGGCUCAACCUCGAGACGCCGGUGGAAACCGUAAGGCUAGAGUCCGGAAGAGGAGAGUGGAAUUCCUGGUGUAGCGGUGAAAUGCGCAGAUAUCAGGAAGAACACCCGUGGCGAAGGCGGCUCUCUGGGACGGUACUGACGCUGAGACGCGAAAGCGUGGGGAGCGAACAGG
rnacentral:rRNA from 1 species